rnacentral:lncRNA from 1 species
AGAGAAACAAGGCCAUUCAGGCCCGAUGCAACUAGAGCCUAAAGAAAGAAUGGGAAAAAAAAACUAACCUAGCAGAAAAUGGCACAAGGGAAGAAGUACAAGUAGCGGUAGCCUUGUCCACACUACAAUCAGAAGGGGAACCGGUGACGGACGCGACGGCGGCCAAAGCGCAUAUCUAGACGCAAUGGGGAUAGAUCAUAGAGGACAUCCAUAGCGCACAACCAACAAAAAUUUCUGGGCCACAAACCAAUCAUCGAUUCAACACCAAAAAUCUGCCGGAGGUUGCAGUAACCCUUUCUAAAGGAAUACUAGAUCCAACCAAACACUCAGUAGUGGUUUUUAAAAAAUCUGGUGACCCUAGAGGAAAACAGAAGGAGUCUUUGGCAUUUAAAAAUGCUAUGGGUGGACAAGUGAAUGCUCUUACCCGGUGAACCAGUAUGGAGAAAAUGAAUGGAACAAAGGGCCAAAAAUUUAAAAGAAUUAUUCGGGAUAAAGAAAGCCUCUUCAAAGUUACAUAUUUCAAAGUCCCACUAUCAGAUUCAAUUACCAACAUGGUUGAACUGCUACAAGAACAAGUUAAAUAAGGUCUUCUCAACAAAAUAAAUGAGGAAGAAGCCGGGAACGAAGACAGCAAAGGCGUCAUACGGUAGCAAAAAUAAAUUGGGUAUUAUUCUUCUAAAUCUUUCAUGAUGAAUUCUAAUUUUAAUUUAUCACUUUUCAUUUAGAAUUGUCAAAUAUGUGCAAGUGCUAAAUUUCCACGCAUCUUCAGAGAGUAUAAUAUGGAUUUUAGACUAGACAUUGUAGGCCUUUUAGAACCAAGAGUGAGUGGUAUCAAGGCAAUGAAAUAAUUGCUAAGCUAUGCCUUCACCACUCCCAUCGAAUUGAAGCGAGAGGUUUCUCAAGGGGAAUUUGGAUCGGUUGGAGGGAUACAAUUUGACUUGAAAUUGUCCAAAACCAUCCCCAAUUUAGUCUUGUUAAGAUAUAUAAUGGGGGCUAAUACAACCCAUCCUAGUUGUUAUUGUCUACUGGAACCCCAAUGGUACAAAGAGGAAGAGCUUCUAGGAAGCUUUAAUAGUAACUAUAUUGCCUGAUAGUACCUUGGAUGAUAAUAGGUGAUUUUAGCACUAUUUUCUCCUAAGAAGGCAAAAAAGGUUGCAGUACCGUAGGAAAAAGUUGCCCACAUUUCAGAGAAUUCAUUGAAUCUACAAACCUACAAGAUCUGGGAUUUCAAGGGCCCUCAUUUACUUGGCAAAGAGGAGGAGUCUUCGAAGGAUUGGAUAGAGCAAUAGGAAAUGAAGCUUGGUGCCAAUCAUUUCCCCAUUGUUUAGCAACACAUCUAACUCAAAUAAAAUCAGACCAUAUGCCGUUGCUUGUUAACAUUAACUCGGACUUAAAAAUCCCUAAAGGAUAGCAUUUCAGGUUUCUUGCUAAAUGGGCACGGCACCAAGACUUCCCAAACAUAGUUAAAAGAUUAUGGAGCUACAGGGAAUACAUGCAUAUCAACUUAGAUCAACUCACCGUAGGCCUUAAAGUUUGGAACAAAAACGUAUACGGACACAUUGGGACUCGCAAACAGAAGCUAAUGAAAUCUUUAAGCUCGGUACAAACGAAGCUUGAAAGAUCAUAUUCGAACUCCUUGUAAAUUGAUAUAGUGGAUAGGAAUACAUUUGUUUUUCACAGUUGAACAAUGCACAGAAGAAAAAUUAAUCGUAUUACCGUGGCCUGCAACAUAAAUACAGAAUGGCUAUUUGACCCAGAGGACAUACAAGAAUAAGUUGUUAAUUACUUUUAAAAACUAUAUGGCGAAAAACCAAACAGAUAGGGAGAGUUACCUCCAAGUUGCUUUCUUCCACUAGAACACAGUGACAUUGAUUUUAAAAAAGAGGUCACAAAUGAAGAAAUCAAAUCAGCACUUUUUGACAUGGCUCCUCUGAAGCACCUGAAAGUGAUGGAUAUCACGCGUUUUUCUUUCAAAACCAAUAGGAUAACAUAGGAGGAGUAGUAAGUGAUUGGGUCAAAGACGUAUUCAAUGGGUGACCCAUCAACCAAGAACUCAACAACAUAUUAAUCAUCCUAAUCCCAAAGAUUACCCAGCCCGAAGAACUCUCGCAAUUUAGACCAACAAGCCUUUAUAUUGUCCUUUAUAAACUAGUCAUGAAGGUAAUAGCCAAUAGAUUCAAAUAGUCUUCCCUAAAAUUAUCUCGUAAGAACAAGCUGGAUUCAUCGCCAGAAGGAACAUCUCAGACAACAUCAUCAUAACUUAAGAGGUCAUCCACUCAAUGCGCAGAAAAAAUAAGAAAUGGAUGGUGAUCAAAAUUGACUUGGAAAAAGCUUACAACAGAAUUCGAUGGGAUUUCAUCGACAAGUCAAUCCAAGCUACUGGAAUUCCAGAUUUUCUAGUAAAAAUUAUUAUGUUAGCUAUUACAACGACCACCAUGCAAGUCUUAUGGAAUGGGGUACCCACUGAAAAAUUCAAACCCGAAAAAAGAGUAAGACAAGGUUGCCCACUAUCACCUUAUUUAUUCGUAUUAUGCAUAGAAUGGCUAGGGCAUAGCUUUCAUUCAUUCAUUUCUUCGAGAAAUUGGCUCUCUAUUAAGUUAUCCAGAACUGGACCCAACUUAUCACACUUAUUCUUUGUAGAUGACUUGGUGAUUUUCUCAAAAGCGGAUAUCAAGCAUAGUAUGUUGCUAAAAAACAUUCUUGAUCAAUUCUGUAGGCUUUUAGGACACUGUGUUAAUACAAGGAAAACUAACAUAUUUUUUUCAAAAGGAGUAGCGGAAGACUUAAGUGAUAGACUAAGUAGGAUUUUGGGAUAUCAGAAAGUACAAGAGCUAGGCAAAUAUGUAAAUUAUGUAACUGGGACGCAAAGUAACUAUCCAUGGCAAGACACUUUACCCUUAUCCAAUCAGUUCUCUUAACUAUUCCUAAUUAUUUCAUGCAAUCCAUGAAAAUUCCAAAAAGGGUGUGUGAUGAAAUUGAACACCUAGCAAGACAGUUCAUUUGGGGAUCUAAUACGGGAGGUAGCUAGUUGGCACUAGUUGAUUGGGGGUCAAUAAGUCAACCUCGUACAAGCGGCGGUCUAGGCCUAAGGCGUUUACAAGACCAAAACAAAUCCUUCUUAUUAAAACUAGGAAUCAACCUCAUCUCGAACCAAAAUGCCUUAUGGGCGCGUAUGUUACAUUCAAAGUACGAAAUGAAGGAGAUAAUUUCAGAGGGUAUAGUAAAAACAAGUUGUUCUACACUAUGGAAAGCAAUUUAGAAGGUAUGGCCUCUAUUAAAGGAAAACCUAUGCUGGUCAGUUGGAGACGGAAUAAAAAUAUCUUGUUGGAAUGACAACUAGAUUCGUAUAGUUGGGCCUCUGAACAACCAUAUUCAAAAUUUGAAUAGAUUAACAAAUGACUGUUUGCUUAAGGAUAUGAUAACAGAUAAAGGGGUUUGGAACCUAGAAGCAUUCAGAGAAAAAUUAGCAGAAGAAAUCGUACAAAAAAUUGUAGACAUACCUCCCCUACAUCAUUUAGUAGGGCCCGAUAAAAUCAGAUGGACGCCUACCUCUAAUGAAAAAUUCUCGAUCAAGAAUGCAUACCAAAUGCUAACAGGAAAUUCAUGGAAUACUCAAGACAUUAGGUGGAAGGAAGUUUGGAAAUAUCAAGGUCCACAACGUAUUCGGUUCUUCUUAUAGCAAGUUUGCAAACAAAGGUUGCUCACCAAUUUAGAAAGAGCAUGAAGAGGGCUCAGCCACAACACCUCCUGUCCAGUUUGUCAACAUAACACAGAAGACGCCUUACACAUUCUCAGAUACUGCUCGAUAGCUAAAGAAGUUUGGUUGAACAUUACCCUCUAAAUUGGAAAUCCCAAUUCUUUUCAAGCAAUAUUUUUGAAUGGGUUGAGAAAAACUUAAGACAUAACGAGUGGUUGCCAUAGGCUAAAGCUCCCUGGCCCACCCUUUCUGGGUUAAGAGCAUGGCGUAUAUAGAAGAAUAGGAACAUAUUUGUCUUUCAAGAUUUAGCAUGGAGUUCAACAGAAACUAUCAAGAUAUUUGUUUGUUGGGCAAGACAGUAGACCAAUUCCCAUGCGGGGGACCCGUCUAAAGAUUUAAAUGAAGAAUCUAAGUAAAACUUAGGAACAGUUAUUAAGUAAGAAGGUAGAUUUAGGUUUUGUUUUCUUUUUUAUUAAUUUAGCUUUACUUUCCACAAAAAAUAUAUAUGUAGAAUAAAAUAAUUAGUAUGAUCGUAUACAAUACGGUUAAAGUAAUUUAGUUGGUGGAAUCACCAAUAGGAGUGUGCAAAUUUCAGGUAAAACAGAAUUAAUUCGAUUAACUAACCGAAUUCGGUUAAUCGGUCUGUUAACCAAAUUAAUUCAGUCGAGAGUCAACUAAUAAUUUUUUGGAAGUUCGAUUAAUGGUUAAUUCGGUUCGAAAUCAGUCGGUUAACCGAAUUAACCAAAUUUAAUAAAUAAUAUUAUAAUAUACAAGUAUUCGGUCGGUUCGGUUAAUUUUUUGAAAAUAUAAAUUAAUCGGUUGGUUAAGUCGGUUAAUUUUUUAUAUGUCUUAUAUUUGUUUUAACCAAAAAUAAAAAAUAUAUAUUUCGGUUAAUUCGAUUAACUGACCGAAUUAACUGAAAAAGUUCGGUUCAAUUAAUUUUUUUUAAAAAAAAAUUACGGUUCAAUUAACGGUUAAGAGUUUAAAAAAGUUAGUUAAUUUGGUUAAUAGUAAUUUGGGUCAAGUCAAUUAACCGAUUAAACAUUCCUAAUCACCAAACAAUUUAAUCCUUAUCUUAACGAAGGUGGGAAAAUAAUGACACUUGAAGAUGGUGUUAACUAUUUCAAGUAAAAAUUUUGUAAUUAGCAACUUAUUCCUUUUCAAAAGAGUGUACGGCAUUAAUUAUUUAUGUUUCUAAAAGCUGACAUGAUCACAAUAAUAAAUAAUUAUGGCUGUGAAAAAUAUGGAUUAUGUAUUGAUUUAAAAAUUAAAAAUAUAUAUAUAUAAAUUUAUCAAUUAUAUUAAAAACUUUUAAAAUAGAAUCAAAAUGUUUUAACCUCAGAUGAAAUUGAAUAAACCUAAGCCUUAGAUUUAAUCUACUAAAUUAAAAUAAAGAGCACAACACUUUCUUUUUCCAUAAUGCAAUACAAGUUUUAGGGUGAAAUUUUUUGGGGGUAAUCUCUUAUUUUCAGAAUUUUUUAAGCAAAAAGGAAAGCAAGAGGUUGGAGUUAUCAAGAUUAAGUACUAUGGGUAUUAUAUAUUUGUUUUUCUCCCUAAAAAAAUUUGUAGUGCAUUUCACUUUAAAAAGUUUAUAAUUUUUUAUUGAUUGAUGUCACUCAAAGAAUUUUAAACAUAUCACACGAAAAAUGAAUAAAUUUUGGAUUUCAAGCAUAUCACACGAUUAAGCAUUUCACUAAGUUUAUGAAUUAUUUUCACCUUAAAAAUUGUAUUAUAAGGUGAAAAGAAAAAAAUGAAAAAGAUUAGGUGUUGUGCUUUUUAUUUUAGUGAGUAGAUUAAAUACUAAAUUUAAGGCUUAAAUUUAUUCAUUAUGAUCUAAGGGUAAAAAAAAUAUUUUAAUUCUCAUUGUUUUCAUUUUAAAAAUUCUCACUAUAAUUAUCACUUUAAAAUAUAAUAUUCAAAAGAAUUUAAAGUAAUAUUUUGGUUAAUUAAUUAGAGUGUAAAUCUAAAAGUAAUUAUUUUUUGCUACUGAUAUUCUGUUUGAAAUACUAUCUAAUAUAUUUUUAAGAUUCUUUUUCAAAUUAUCAAAAUUUAGAUUUGAUACUAAUAUUACUGACGAGGAAAAAAUUUAAAAAAAAAUCUUUUUCUUUAUACAUUUUUUGGUAAUCCUUUAAGAAAACAUGGCAUGUUAACUUUAGUAACAAAUAAUUUUUAUUUUUAAAAAUAUUGCAUUUUUUUAGUUUUCGAGAAUUUUAUGAAUAUCUGUAUUUUUUUUUUUGAAAAAUUUAUUUUUAAUUUUUUAUAAUUUAUCAAUUUUUGAAAUUGAGAAAGAUAAUUACUAAUCUCAAAUAUAUAUGGACAAAAAUAUGACACCAAGUUAUGAAUGUACCAAAUUAUACUUUUUUAACAUUAUAUAAUUAUUUUUAUAUCAACCAGUUGUUAAUUUACCUCAGAACUUUUAUUAGACUAUCUUGUUUUUUCAUUAAAAAAAAAAAACCCCUCUUUAUUGGUGAAUAGUACAAAAUCGAAGUUGAGAGGGAGAGGGAUCCAACGUUGGUCUACCAAUAAAGAAACAAGUCAUCACCUGAUGCGUAAUGGCAGACAUGAAUUUAACCCCACAGCACAGUUCUUUUUAACUAGCUUUAUAUAUAUAUAUAAAUAUAUAAAUAUAUAAAUAUAUAUAUAACACCUUCCUUUUAGCCUUCUUUAACUCGAAAAUAUCUAGCAAAAGCAAACUAAAAAAGCAAUUGCAGUACAAGGUGCAGCUGAGCUUGAAUUACAACCACAUCACCAAUGAUUUAAAACUUACAGUAUCUGUGGCUCCACCCAUAAAACAAAAAAAACCCACAUUUAUAUGAAACUGAAACAUGCCUUCAUUCGAAUUUAUGUAAUGUCAGCCCCCAUGUGAUGACCCUAGCCUUUGCCUUUCAUGUGGACCUAAAGUUAUUAUAUAUAAAUGUAAAAUGAGACAAAGUGCCCUAAAAGAUACUUUUUUACCAACUUUCUCUAAUACCCAACAUUCUUCAGUUUAAUAAUAACAAAAUUUUAACUCAAAAAGAUUAACAUAAAAUAAAAUAACAAUUACCAUGCAAACCCCAUCUCCUGAGAUCUCAUCUUUUCCCUUUUGAAGUUCAAACGUUGAUACUUAGACAUUUCACUAACUUCCUAACAAGUGUAAUGAUAAAUGUAAACAUUUCCAGCUUCAAAGUCUAAUCGUACAAAUCAUAUUAUAAUAAUGUUGUUAUCAGAUAAAAUGUGAAAGAAGAUGCAUACAUUGACAAUACAAUAAUCAGCUAUCCUUGGCUCCUUCAGGCUUUUUUUGGUUGGAAUACAUACCUACAAAGGAAUGGCAAAAGGAGAAAAGAGAACAGCCCUACACACCAAUAUUGAUUUGUCUGCCAUAUAUGUAAUCCAAUAUGCAUUUGCUGUUAGUAGUUUGUAUUGAAGAAGUCAACGAUGGAUACAUUCUUUGCGGAUCCACCCUUCACUCUAUAAAUCUUGCUAUACACAUCUAGGGGAUUCUUCUCGUAUAUGUUUCUCUACUUUUGUGCAUUAGUAUCACAUCGAAACAUUAAAAAGAAAGCCGUUUGACUGGAAUGUGAAAAAGAUUAGUUCAUACAUUAUAGUUACUCCUUUCCUGAGUUCUGACAAUACUUACCUUUAUUUCCUAAAGUUAAUUAGCUUCAUGCCCAUGAUAAAACCUGCAGAGAAAAAGUAAAUAAAUCUCAAAUCCAAUACAAUACCUUCUACGUGGGUAAUCAUAGAAGGAGAGAUCAAGUUAUAACAAUUCUAAAACAGUGAUAGUACCUUGGCAUUAAGAAUAGGAUAACUUAAAUGGAAGUCAUGCCACUAGUAGAAGUGGCAAGUAGUAAAGGAUCAUUUUCGGAAGAUGACAUUGAACAUAAAUUCGGAUUUCCAUUUGCUGCAGGAAACUCAGAGAGGUGACUUUCAGUAGACUUUUCAGGGGAAGCAAACGGACUAUCAGGAAGC